rnacentral:rRNA from 1 species
CUAAGAAUAUUCCGCAAUGGACGAAAGUCUGACGGAGCGACGCCGCGUGGAUGAAGAAGGCCGAAAGGUUGUAAAAUCCUUUUGCUGGGGAAGAAUAAGCGUGGGAGGGAAUGCCCGCGUGAUGACAUGAACCGGCGAAUAAGCCCCGGCCAACUACGUGCCAGCAGCCGCGGUAACACGUAGGGGGCGAGCGUUGUUCGGAAUUACUGGGCGUAAAGGGCAUGUAGGCGGUUUUGUAAGCUUGACGUGAAAGACCACGGCUCAACCGUGGGGGUGCGUUGAGAACUGCGAGGCUUGAGUUACGGAGAGGGAGCUAGAAUUCCUGGUGUAGGGGUGGAAUCUGUAGAGAUCAGGAAGAAUACCGAUGGCGAAGGCAAGCUCCUGGCCGAUGACUGACGCUGAGGUGCGAAAGUGUGGGGAUCAAACA